GUGAUCACUUUAGCUGCACUUAUACUAAAAUUGGAAGGAUACGGAGAAGAUUAGCAUGGCCCCUGUGCAAGGAUGAAAUGCAAAUUUGUGACGUGUUCCAUAUUUAA
rnacentral:snRNA from 1 species